GUUUAGUCUUUUAUAAUUUAAUAAAAAGAUAGUUGGCAUUCCACUGCACAUGAUUUCAAACCUAGUUUGAAUUUUAUAAAUACAGUAUACGUUUGUGCGAUGAAUUAGUAUGUAAGCUUUUUCCUCAUUAUUUUCUGAAGGAUAUUAAGAAUUUAUUCUUUAGCUAGUCCUAGAAUUCCGAAGAUCUUACAUUUGCAAUAGAUUGUGAGAGAAUUUUAUGUACACACACAGUUUAAAUUUUAUGUCCUUAAAAUAUUUUCAUAUAUUUUAGAUAAAUGCAGUUGAGCUGUAAAAUAAUUAAGUAACAAAUUUCUUAUUGACACUUCUUUUCAUAGGUUUACUGGUUCACUGUCGAAUUCGGAUUGUGCAAAGAAAAUGACAGGAUCACAGCGUACGGUGCAGGGUUAUUGUCGUCUUAUGGAGAACUUCAGCAUGCUUUCUCAGAGAAACCGCGACUGGUACCUUUUGAACCGGAAGCCACAGCAAUGCAACCAUACCAAGAUCUACAUUAUCAAGAUGUUUACUUCGUCUCUGAAGGAUUCGAAAAUGCCAAGGACAAAAUCAUGAAUUAUGUUAAUAACCACAUACAUCGGCAUUAUGAUAUGAUUUAUGAUCCUUUCACUGAAUCCAUUAUUGAAAUAGAUUCUUGGAAAAAAGCAGAGAAGAUAUCUGAUGACCUUCGAUCAAAAAUCCUAAUUCUGAAUAAUGCUGUUCGACGGCUAAAAUAUAUAUAAUUAUGCAGUAAACUAUGUUGUUCCAAUUUUUAUUCAUCUUGUAAGUUCAUAUAAGGAAAAAAUUAUGUAUCAGUUUUGAUAAAAUAUAUUCAAAUCUAUUUAUAGCAGCUCUAAAAAAUCCAUCAAUUCUGAGAUUCCAGCAUAUAAUUAUGAAAAAUAAUUUUAACUGAUUAUGCCAACUCUAAAGAUGA